rnacentral:rRNA from 1 species
UACGAAGGGGGCUAGCGUUGCUCGGAUUUACUGGGCGUAAAGGGCGCGUAGGCGGAUGUUUAAGUCGGGGGUGAAAGCCCGGGGCUCAACCUCGGAAUUGCCUUCGAUACUGGACAUCUUGAGUACGGGAGAGGUGAGUGGAACUCCGAGUGUAGAGGUGAAAUUCGUAGAUAUUCGGAAGAACACCAGUGGCGAAGGCGACUCACUGGCCCGUUACUGACGCUGAGGCGCGAAAGCGUGGGGAGCAAACCGG